AUUGAGGCGCCAUUAGUGCCGUAGAGUAAGUGGACGGAAACGUGUUUAGUGUAGUUGGCGCUGCUUUCCAGUUAAGAGGUAACAGAUAUCCAGCAUGUCCUGGAAUCGGAUUACCAGUGGCAGCCGUUGGCUCUUCAUCACGCUGGGGCCAUGCUUGAAGGGAUGGAGGACUGAAGGCUACACUGAUAUCUGCUUAAUUGUGUAGUUUUCCUGAAUGGAGUAAAAGUUUAAAGUGGUUUGAUGCUUUUCAUUGGCUUUCCUUGUAAUUUCCGUAUAUCAGCUUUAAUAUUAAUCUGCAUGUUUGAAUUGACUAGUUUCUUUGGAUGUCUUUUGGAAUAAGAUUAUAGGUCAGUAAUGAGGUGUGUGUGUGUUUUAAAGGUACAGCAUGGUGCAGCUCCUCCAUAGUGGAACAAAGCAAAUGGUGAUUUUUUUUUUUUGUAUUUUUUGCAUGUAGUGUUUAAAUAAAGCACCAUUUCUGAAA